UAAAAACUUGAAGAAAAUUUUUUUUUUUUUUUCUUAGAGUGACUUUCAGAGUGUUAUCUUAGUAGUCAAAUCUAAGUGUCUUUUUUUUUUUUUUACAUUCAGUGGUGGAGUCAGCUUCCUGCGAAACACAAAAGGAGCCGGUACCAGCUGAAUCUGCCGACACAACCACCUCGAGCAGCCAUGAGACAGGAGAUCCUGUAGUGCCGCCCACCACAGCGGUACCAGCUGAAUCUGCCGACACAACCACCUCGAGCAGCCAUGAGACAGGAGAUCCUGUAGUGCCGCCCACCACAGACAGCGCCAACCAAAACAGUAAGUCAAACAAAGUCUGAAUUAUGAUUUCCUCCAAAUGAACCAUUAAUUGUACUAUCCUGUUUAUCCUCUGAUUCAGAGGACAGCGAGCCCCCGCUGUAGAGCUGGAUCAUAGUCAGCCUGAAACUAAGGUUGAAGAGGAAACAGCAGUGGAUUCUUCAGAUCAACCGUCCUCAGGCUGAGGACUAAAUGCAGUAGAUGAACUCGUUGCUUCACAAACUGGAAUCGGAGGGCAACUUUUGAAAUGAAGAUGAGCUGUGGAUUAAGUUUGCUAUAAACGAUUUGUAGCCUAGACAUUAUAUGCGCACGGACCAAAGAAAAUCAUGGUGAAUUGUAAAGAGUUUGAAUGAGGAAAACUAAACAAUUGAGACAGCAGAGAUUGUGUACCUCAUUGCUAUCAAAUCUAAUAUUGCUUUAUUGACCAUUUUUUUUUAUGUUUGUUUAGUAAUCUUAUGCAAUUAUCGCAGGUGUAUUUGUGUGUUCCUGAAUUUGAAUGAAUUUAGCAGGAGCUUGAAAACUUGCUCUGUGUGUCUGUCUGUCUGUAUGUCUGUAUGUAUCAUGUCUUUUAGACUGACCAUCAUUCCAAUACUUUGUGUGAGUGCUUGUUUCUCUCUUCAAAUGUGCAUUGUAUAUCCCUGUUUAUCAAUUGAGCUCACGGAGCAGAAAUAAUCAUGACAUUUGUGAUUGUACCUGCUGCAUCUCCCUGCAGAUGAAAUGUCUUCCUGUUUGGGUAGAAAAUUUAUAUAUAAUUGGGUUUGCCUCCUGUAGGAGGUUUGG
rnacentral:lncRNA from 1 species